rnacentral:rRNA from 1 species
CCUACGGGAGGCUGCAGUGGGGAAUAUUGCACAAUGGGGGCAACCCUGAUGCAGCGACGCCGCGUGAGUGAAGAAGUAAUUCGGUACGUAAAGCUCUAUCAGCAGGGAAGAAACACUGUCCUGACGGUCAGCAGACGGUACCGGCGUACGAAGCCCCGGCUACCUACGUGCUAGCAGCCGCGGUAAUACGUAGGGGGCAAGCGUUAUCCGGAUUUAGCGGGUGUAAAGGGAGCGUAGACGGUGCGCCAAGUCGGGAGUGAAAUGCCGCAGCUUAACUGCGGAACUGCUUUUGAAACUGGCGAACUAGAGUGCGGGAGGGGUAAGCGGAAUUCCUAGUGUAGCGGUGAAAUGCGUAGAUAUUAGGAGGAACACCGGUGGCGAAGGCGGCUUACUGGACCGUAACUGACGUUGAGGCACGAAAGCGUGGGGAGCAAACAGGAUUAGAUACCCGGGUAGUC